rnacentral:lncRNA from 1 species
UUUAGUGCUAUCAAACCCUGUUUGCAUUACAUUAUUUANUUUUUUUGUCUUGUUUUUUUUGUUUUUUCAUUGUUUUUUUCUGAACAGUAUUUACAAGGAUCUGACUCUUAUUUCCUAGGGAAAUUCUGGACUCCCACAAAGUAAGAUAAUCAUCAUAGAAAAAGAAUGAGCAAGAAUAGUAUUUGUUCCAGAAUUGUACAGUGUUCACCUUAAGUUGAUUUUUUUUUCCUCCUUUUGCAAUUGAACUGAAUACAUUUUUCAUGCAUGUUUUCCAGAAAAUAGAAGUGAGUAUUAAUGUUAUUAAAAAGAUUAUUUUUUUUAUUAAAGGCUAUUUAUAUUAUAGAAACUAUCAUUAAUAUAUAUUCUUUAUUUACAUAAUCUGUCCCAUAGUCAUGCAUUGUUUUGCACCCCAAAUUUUUAUUGUUAGUAGCAGCAUGGUUAGCUUUUCUCUUGGUCUGUAGACGAGGCUCAGGCACUCUCUCAUUAAUACUAAUUCCCAAUGUAUAACUACUUAAAGAAAACAGAUUGAACUUCACCCUUUUUCCCUUUUAUUUCUUUCUGUUUUCACAUGAAUCCCUCAUCUUCCACCCUUUUAUAGUUAAGAGUGGUUCAAUCAUAUGAAAUAAGUUACCAGAAUUAACACAAUUUAGGCUAUCGUCCUGAUUACAUAAACCCCUCUACUGAGGUAUGCUCAUGAAUAAUACUUUAGAAUAUGAAAGAAUAGAAACCAUGAACUUUUUUACCUUUUUAAGCUGUUUAUCCAUAUUUCAAUGAUAAAAAUAGGACGUUAAACUAUUUUUAAGAUCGUUUCCCAGUGAUCAGGUCUCACUUUAACCUCAUUAAAUCUCAUUUGAGCACAGGACACAUUCUAAAACUUUUUUUUUUUUUUUAAACAAUCACCAAGAUGUAGGAACUAAUGCUAGUCAUCACUCUAGAAUCUGAUGUUUUACUCAGUAUUUGAAAUGAAUGAUUAAUGUCCUAGGAGAUAGCUUUAGCAAAUGUCCAGGUGCCACACACACACACACACAAAAAAAAUAGUGCAAUAAUUUACUGACAGUUUUCUAGAUUAGGCAUAUUAUUGGAGAACAACUUUAUAAAGAGUGCACAUUGAAUACUCUAGUAAAACAGCAUCACUUUAAAAAUAUUCGUCUACUAAAUCAGAUACUUAUAGUAAAAGUCUUGAAUAGUGAACAAGGGACUCUAAUACAAAUAUUCUUAGUAUCUGGCUGUUUUAGAACCCUUAAAGGGCAUAAUUAUUGAAGAUUUAGGUACUUCAUUAAAGCAUGUAUAUAAUAUUGCCAAGAAGAAAAAUAAAUUUCAAAAUUAGAAUUUAUUUCUAUAAACUGUCUUGGAAUAGUUAAGCAGAAUUUAAGCUCUGUUUUAAGCAGGAAACCAGAUAUAUUCUUUUGCAGAUACAAAAUAUUUCAUAACUUAUUUAAACUUCACAAUUACAUUUUGUGUUGUUUAGCUUAUAUGCAGUUGAUAAAUACUAACAUCCCAUCCUUUUCUGUAUCAGGGAUUGAUUAUAGGAAAACUCAGUGAAAUGGUACAAAUCUGAAAAUUUGAUGGUGGAAACUGAAGAAUUAACAGAGAACUGUGUUUUACCCAAGUGCCAAAAAAGCCUUGAGCCUCCUUGCACAAAAUUUAUGAUUUCUCCCUUUUUUCACAGUAGUUCCUAUCAUUACCCCUCUUUCCCCCAGAACCUCUCCAUCAUAAAAACACAAGCCCACAUAGCUUACUUCAUCAUUUACAUUUAUUUUCAAAAAUUACUACAACCAAAUUAAUUCUGUUUGGAGAAGUAUAGACAAAUUCUGUAAAGAAUAUAGAUUAAGUGAUCUAACUAAAAAGAAAGGAGGACAGGAAGUGUUCAGAAAGGCAAGACCAAAAAUCAAAAGCUGCAUGGGGUGACGAGAUCUAUUUCCAGGUACUUCAAUAUCAGAGAGCAGUUGUCAUAGAUUGGUCAGAUCCUAGAGCUGACAAUCCUUGUCAUUGAAUGUGAUGUAACUGACUAUUGGCUCUACAGUUUCCUUAAGUCACUUGAGAAGUACUCCUUCAGUAAUUAUUUUGGAGGGGAACAAAGCUCCUCUAAAGAAAAAAAAAACUAACUUUAAAUACAUUGUAGCAAGAAAUAAUCAAUUGUUUGAAAAUCAUGCUUUAACUUUUUACCAUAUUCUCAGCUAUACAAAAACUUUUUUUUAGGAUUUUUAGACUGCUGUUAAUUUAAAUCUGUUAAUCUUAUUGUGGGAUUUGGUUUUUUAAAAAAGAUGUUUCUAAUUGGAUUUUUUAAAAGAAGAGUGUAAUUUGGUUGCUAUUUUAUGAUAGAACCUAAGCCUUUUGUGGUUCUUAGUGUCCUCUGUAAAACUUAGUGUCAAAGUAAUCAACUUCAAGUUUUUUCCCUUAUAUUCUGCUUUAUAUUACAAGCCCAUUAGGAAAUGGGAACCUGGUGAAUAUAUAAUGAAUUGUAAAAUAUUUUAAUGUGUAACUUUUUCAACUGUGAAACUAUGACUAUUGGUUUUUUGAUGAAAACAGCUGCUGAUAAAGUAUUUUGUGUUAAGUGUAGUUCUUAUUAAUCAGGAAAAUGAUGGCUUGAUUAGACUGUGUAUACCCUCUUGGAGUUUAUUUUAAAUGAAUUGGUAAUUUUCAUAUAGGUAAAACACAGUCCAUCUGUGUUCUUUUUCCAUCAAAAACUGAGUGGUUUAGCAUUAUAAGAAAAACUGUGAGCAGCCUAUUUUAAAGGCACUAUGGAAAUGUCACAGCACAUGAACUUGGAUUUGUUCUUUACAUAAUGAUUUUGUAAAUCCGUUUAACUCAUAUUUGGAUCAAUAGUCCAUGCUUACCAUCUCUUUGAAGAAAUUUAAUAUCCAGCAGUAUGUUAAAGUUAGGAUGUGAACUUAUCUGAGUAUCAUAAAUUCUUGUUUCUGUGUCUGCACAAGCCACAGAUCUGGGCUGGACCCACACACUCAGAGUCCACCUUAAAAAACUAUUUUGAUGUCAAAGACAUCACUAAACUAUUCAGUUUAAAGGCAAUAUGUGGUGUUAAAAGAUUGUGGUGCUUCUCCUAUUUAUUUAAAGACAACUUUCAUACUUCAGAUGUUUUUGAGAAGAGGGAGGGGGCAGAACAAGGAGAUGUUUAAAUGAAUUACAUUCUUUAUAUAUCUACCCUGUCUGGAUGGGGCAUAUCUAACAGAAGGCUGAAAGUUGUGAGAAUAUAUGUGCAAACCAUCAGGGAAUCAACUCUUCAUUGAGGAUGGGAUUGUGAAGGCCGAAUUAUAAAAUUCAGCACUGGCAGUAUCCUCAGAUAAUAAUUCUUGGUGACAAAAUAACAACAGCUGGGCUGUUUUUUAAAGUAAAACACAAAACCAUUUUAAUUAUUACAUUAAAAAUUGUAAAUAUAUCUUAUGUGCCAUGGCCUGGGAAGCCUGUUUUCUUUUCUUGUAAAAAAAAAAAAAAAAUUAUUUCCACUCUCUGAAAAUAUUAUGGGAUUUAACUCAAGAUAACUAUGGUCCCAAUAAAAUUGGAUGGGUAACUCUACCUCAGAAGGUUAAUGGCAAAAAAAAAUUAGAUGAGUCACAAAUCAAUACUUCAGGCUCCUAUGUUACAGAAGUUUUGCAAAGCACUGUGUUUAUGAAGUCAGAACUUAUAAAGUCAGAAUUGGCAUACCUUUGGUGCAGGAAACAUUAAGGAAAGAUGUUAGCUAAAAUUUAAUCAUUGUUUAGCCAUGUAGAGAAGGCUAUAGUGUGAGGAGGUUCAUGGUCCUAGGUUCUUGAUUUGGCAUUUUAUGUUUAUUUUGUUCUCUUUUCUUCUUUAUUCAUGAAUUUGGUAUAUGUUUUUUUGUACACAUUUCUGUUUGCAAACACUGCUAGACCUAGUCAAGAGGGAUCUUUCAUAAAAGAUGUAAACAAAUACAUGGUUCUGAAUUUCGGAAGAGUUUAAAGUUUAUUAGGAGUCUCCCAAGAUGAUAUAUUAAAUAACCGUAUUUAUCUCAUUCAAGUCCUGCACUUGUUUUGCACUUCUUCCUUACUAGUGCAGUGCCACUCCUUCUUCUUGGUUUUACAUAUGUUCCUCUUCCAGCCAUGAUAGUUAGCAGAAAGCAGAAGGUGUGAGCCAUAGGGAUAUUUUCUGACUUGAUUUUUACAUGACUGCAUGUAAGAGGCUUUAGUGGGGAAGUUGGGAGUAAAAUUAGUCCAUUGUAUGUAUAACAUAGUUAGACUUAACUGGAUUUUACUACCAACAGUAGACUCCAUUCUUCAUGUUGGUAAGUACAGAAAAAAAGUAUUAAUAUACAUUUGAUAAGACAAGUAAAGUCAGUGAAUUUUAUCUGCAACCUCAUUUUAUCUGUCACUACAAUAAUUUUGUGGCAGAACCAGGUAUAUUUUUGGUUAUUGUUAUUUUAUUGAUCCUUUUAGGUUAUUAAGGAGGGAGAAAACCUUGAGUGUUUCAUAUUAAAAUCUCUUUAAUAAAACUAAACUUCUUAAUUCUAGUACAGAUUUCCAAAUGUGGUCACAAUCUGUUAAUUUCAUAAGAAAAAGUCCUUCAUCAGAUUUUAAUUUAUGCCCUUAGAGUAGAUUGAGAACUUGGCCUUUUUCUGACUCUAAAAAUCUUUUUGGCUAUGGAACCCAAGCUUUAAAUUGCAGUUAAUGGUUUCAGUCUUUGGACAUAAAUUUGGUUAAAUAAAAUGUUAAAGAAUAUGUCCUUUUGAAACAUAACACCUUAGUGUCUUGGGAAAUGUAAUACUACCAGAAGACUACUGACACAUCAAAUGUUUAUCUUAGAUUCCUCAACAAGGAGCUCAAACCACCUUUUUAGCCCCAUUAAUUAUAGCAAGUCUGUUUCUCUAUAUUUUGUUCAUUUAAUGAAUUGAAGUCCUGUGGUAUAUUGCAUUAGUUCGGAGACAGAUGUUUUUAGUGUCCCUUUAACAAUGGCCCAAAAAGUAUUUGACACAGCAAGAUGCAUGUGUUAUUAUAUCAAGAAUAUAGGAUAAUAUAGUAUCACUAAAUUUAAGACCUCUUCCCAGUCUUGCUGUUCAUAGCAGGAAGUUUGGCCUGUGACUGCACUUAUUGUUUGUGCUCAUCAGAAACUGUCAAUGUCUGCUUUUCUUUAACUUUGCAGUCUGUAACAUCACGCUGUUUAUUAAAAAAAAAAAAAUUACCUUGAUUUGUGUCCAAACAAUCUUUAGUGUAUUAUGUAAACAAAGAGCUGUGAUAAUUCUAUCUUGCCAUUUCUUUUGAAAAGCAAACCAGUGUUGCUAAUAAUCAAAAUUUAGCUGAAUUUGAUUGAAAACCUGAAACUAUUAUGCCUUAAAAACCAAUUUUUCUAACCUGGUAAAGUGAUAAAUAUUAGAGAAAUGUAUGUUUAGAUAUUAACUUCCUUUAACCAUAAAUAAUUUUAUACUUCUUCUUUAAGCAGACAUAUAUGUAUGUACACACAGGUAUGAAUGUAUGUAUGUAUAUAUAUAUAGGUAGAUGGACUUUUUUCUUCAACAGUUGAAGACCAGAACUUAAAAGUGAAGUUAGAAACAAGCUAGUUUUGCUUUCCGUUAUCAUUAAACAUUGCAAAGGGUAAGUCUGGGCUUUUCUUUGACCAGUAAUGCACAUGGGCAUUAAUAUUUAGUAUUUAUAAGCAUUUAAGCAUAUCAUUGUUUAAAUUCUAUUGAUUUGCCAAACGGUUUUAACUUUUAAGUGACUUUGCUCUCCAAAUAUAAUGUCUGUCUUUCCUGGGAUGAACCAAGUAACCACAUCUGAAUGAAAAACAAUAAUUGAAGCAUAUGCUUUGGGUUUCAAAUUGGUAGUUUUGAAUUUUUUUUAGAAAAAAAUCACAAGAAUUGCACAUUGUUGAGGCGAAAGCCAAAUUUAUUAAGAAAUAGAGAUGCAACCUUCAUUUAAGAAAACUACAGAAUUUUCUUUUACAGAAUGAUUUAAAAUAGACAUGCAUACAUAUACUUUAUUUCAGGGAAGUCUUUGGUAUACAGAAUGAUUUUGUCAUAACUUUAAACCACAAGUUCUGAACCUUAAAUGUGUGUCACAUUUAGCCAAGAGAAUGGGGUGGGGGCAGAGGAAUUCUCUCUGGCAGCACUCUUCCCUACCCUCUAUAUCCAUUGUCCAAUGAAAAGUACCAAGGCUGACUAUAGGAACUCAAGGGUUUUUUUUGUUGUUGCUUGUUUGUUUGUUUUUAGCUACAAACAUUUUUGAGCACCACUACUCGAUGUCAGAAACUAAGCUUUGUGUUUCAUUGACUCUACCUUGUUUAUGCCUUAAAAACAUGAAGACAUUAUCCCUGUUGUGUACAUGAGAACUCAGAGGUUGAGACAGCUUUUCAGAUUUGCCCCAGAAUAUGCAUCUAAAAAGUUGUUUGGUAGCCUACAAACUGAAAUGAAUCCUACUCUGAGACAUGUUCUCUCUACCAUUCCAUACAAAAAAGAAGGUGAAACAUCCAAGAUCAUUUGUUACUGGUCAAGUCAACAUUGCUCUGUUAAAUUCAGUUUAUUUACUAGUUUGUGGCUUGAAAUUAAUUGGUAAAAGGCAUUAAACUGAUUCAGAAUCAGGAGUUUAGAGUUUGAUUACAUCUACACAUAAAAGUUGCUUCAAAAAUCUGACUUGUGGGCUGGGAUGGAGCUCAGUGGUAAAGCGCCUGCCUAGCACACAUGGGGCUCUAAGUUCAACCCCCAGCACCACUAAUAAUACUAAAAGUCUUAUUCUGUUGUCUAUUAUUUAAGACUUUUUGAUAAAAUUUUAAAGAUAUUUUGAGGCACACUGGAAAAUCAAAUUCUUUUUUUUUUUUAAUUGUAGAUGGACACAAAGCUUUUGUUUAUUUUUAUGUGGUGCUGAGAAUCGAACACCGUGCCUCACACGUGCCAGGCAAGUGCUCUACUGCUGAGCUACAACUCCAACCCACAAGCAAAUUCUUUUCAACUCAAUCUGGAAAGCACUUGUGGGAAGAAUCUUGUGACACCAUU